rnacentral:rRNA from 1 species
GACGAACGCUGGCGGCGUGCCUAAUACAUGCAAGUCGAGCGAGCUUGCCUAGAUGAAUUUGGUGCUUGCACCAGAUGAAACUAGAUACAAGCGAGCGGCGGACGGGUGAGUAACACGUGGGUAACCUGCCCAAGAGACUGGGAUAACACCUGGAAACAGAUGCUAAUACCGGAUAACAACACUAGACGCAUGUCUAGAGUUUAAAAGAUGGUUCUGCUAUCACUCUUGGAUGGACCUGCGGUGCAUUAGCUAGUUGGUAAGGCAACGGCUUACCAAGGCAAUGAUGCCUAGCCGAGUUGAGAGACUGAUCGGCCACAUUGGAACUGAGCCACGGCCCAAACUCCUACGGGAGGCAGCAGUAGGGAAUCUUCCACAAUGGACGCAAGUCUGAUGGAGCAACGCCGCGUGAGUGAAGAAGGGUUUCGGCUCGUAAAGCCCUGUUGGUAGUGAAGAAAGAUAGAGGUAGUAACUGGCCUUUAUUUGACGGUAAUUACUUAGAAAGUCACGGCUAACUACGUG